rnacentral:rRNA from 1 species
UACGAAGGGGGCGAGCGUUGUUCGGAUUUACUGGGCGUAAAGGGUGCGUAGGCGGCGCGGUAAGUCGGGUGUGAAAUCUCGGAGCUUAACUCCGAAACUGCAUUCGAUACUGCCGUGCUUGAGGACUGGAGAGGAGACUGGAAUUUACGGUGUAGCGGUGAAAUGCGUAGAUAUCGUAAGGGAAGACCAGUGGCGAAGGCGGGUCUCUGGACAGUUCCUGACGCUGAGGCACGAAGGUCAGGGGAGCAAACGGG